rnacentral:rRNA from 1 species
AAUACUCCUGACUGACCGAUAGUGAACCAGUACCGUGAGGGAAAGGCGAAAAGAACCCCGGCGAGGGGAGUGAAAAAGAACCUGAAACCGUGUACGUACAAGCAGUGGGAGCCCCACCACUAAGCCAGUGGUGAACUCCACAUCCGCAUCCUUUGCUGAGGAUACGGUUAACGGAGCGAAAGCGACGUUCAACCGCAAAACAAGCAGAGGGGGCUUAGUGGUGGGGUGACUGCGUACCUUUUGUAUAAUGGGUCAGCGACUUAUAUUCUGUAGCAAGGUUAACCGAAUAGGGGAGCCGGAGGGAAACCGAGUCUUAAUUGGGC